rnacentral:lncRNA from 1 species
CCCUUAAGUGAGGGAUGCCCCUCUCUGACAUGGUGUUUCAACCCAGCGGCUCCUCACUGUCUCCUGAAGAAAGACAGGCCACUCUGGCGAGGCCUCCAGAUUCCAGGACAGGAUUCCCAGAACUGUAUUCUCAUCCCAGUUUUUGCUAGGCGUUCUCUUGGCCUGCAACUCUUGGCUCCUCGGUGCCUCCGUAUCCUACCUUAGCCCAUCCCACAUUCACCCACCUAUUCAGGAAAUGUUUACUGGGUGCACCAGGCACACCGUGGAGCAGACCGGGGACAUGAUGGACAGGAAACUUAUCACAUAGUAGAGUAAUGACAAUAAAAAAGUGGGCAAUGGUGUGCUAGGCUGUCAAAGGCCUUGAGGACAACAGAACACGGAAGCUGCUGUGCUGGGCAGGACAGAAACAGCAUUGGUUUGUUGAGCACCAUGUAUGGUGUUUACUUUCAUAACCAAAAUGAAGUUAGUUGAAUUUCUUGCCUUCUCUUUCUACC